rfam:Secondary endosymbiont of Heteropsylla cubana chromosome, complete genome.
AUAUGUUUUUUUUGCAUUCCUUGCUUCCAUUGGAUGUGUGUUAUCUAUAAUUAGUAGGCUAAAUAAUCCAUAAGGAGCAAUUCUAUG